rnacentral:tRNA from 1 species
GCACACUGGUAAAGCUCUCAGCUGCUAACUGAGAGGGUGGUGGUUCGAGUCCACC